rnacentral:rRNA from 1 species
GCCUAAUACAUGCAAGUCGAACGCACUCUCGUUUAGAUUGAAGGAGCUUGCUCCUGAUUGAUAAGCAUUUGAGUGAGUGGCGGACGGGUGAGUAACACGUGGGUAACCUGCCCUAAAGUGGGGGAUAACAUUUGGAAACAGAUGCUAAUACCGCAUAAAACCUAGCACCGCAUGGUGCAGGGUUGAAAGAUGGUUUCGGCUAUCACUUUAGGAUGGACCCGCGGUGCAUUAGUUAGUUGGUGAGGUAAAGGCUCACCAAGACCGUGAUGCAUAGCCGACCUGAGAGGGUAAUCGGCCACACUGGGACUGAGACACGGCCCAGACUCCUACGGGAGGCAGCAGUAGGGAAUCUUCCACAAUGGACGAAAGUCUGAUGGAGCAACGCCGCGUGAGUGAAGAAGGUUUUCGGAUCGUAAAACUCUGUUGUUGGAGAAGAAUGUAUCUGAUAGUAACUGAUCAGGUAGUGACGGUAUCCAACCAGAAAGCCACGGCUAACUACGUG